rnacentral:rRNA from 1 species
UACAGAGGGGGCAAGCGUUAUUCGGAAUUAUUGGGCGUAAAGGGCGCGUAGGCGGCCUGACAAGUGGAAGGUGAAAUCCCUCGGCUCAACUGAGGAACUGCCCUCCAAACUGUUUGGCUUGAGACCGGGAGAGGUGAGUGGAAUUCCCAGUGUAGCGGUGAAAUGCGUAGAUAUUGGGAGGAACACCAGUGGCGAAGGCGGCUCACUGGACCGGAACUGACGCUGAGGCGCGAAAGCGUGGGGAGCAAACGGG